CCCGUGCCCCCUCCUAGGGCUGCAUCCGAGGCCGGAUCCGCUUAAUGCACUGUCUGCAAGUCGGGGCAACACAUGAAAAAUCGGAUCCUGCACCUGGUGAUUUUCGAGCAGUUCCUGGCUGUCCUUCAGCGGAGAUGGAGAGCUGGGUCAGAGAAUGUGGAGCAGAGACCAGUUCCCAGAUGGUGGCCUUGACUAAAAGUUUCCUCCUGAGUCAAGAAGAGGAUGUGAGGCAGGCAGAGCAGCGGCUCCAGGAUCUGUUUGCAGAAGUGGCCACAGAUUUCCACGGGGUAGAGAAGCUUCCCUCAGACGCCAGAGAGAGUCCCCUACCUAGGCAGUCUGUGCCACAGAGUGACUUAGGUGAUACCUCACUGGGUAAGUUUUAAGUUGAUCAUUUUUUAUUGAUCAUGCAAGAAAUCAGGGUGGGUCUGGCCCGGGAGGCCUCUUUUGGCAGGGCCUC